CAGUGUUGGGCUUACAUCAUUUUCUGUGGGCUUUUUUAGAAUCAAUGAAAGUGAAAUUUUAGAUAUAUACUUUGAGCAUAAAUUUGUUGGAAUAUUUUAUUAUUAUGUGAACAAAUAUUUUUAUAUUAUAUUAACUUUUUUAUCAAAUAACAACUUAAUUGAGUAUUGAAUGAAUUAAAUAAUGACUAGUUAAAAAAAU
rnacentral:lncRNA from 1 species